GCCAAUGUGGUAUAGUGGUUUGUGCGCUGGACUAAGACAUUGGGAGACCAGGGUUCAAAUCCCUGCUUAGUGUCA